rfam:Tumebacillus sp. AR23208, complete genome.
UGACUGCGAUGAUGCGAAAGGUUGCUGAGGUGCCGAUUGAUUUUUGCCAUAUGCGGCACGGAUCAGGUAAAUUUUCGCGGAGUAUGUCCACUACAAAUGGGCGA